rnacentral:rRNA from 1 species
UGAGUAACCUGCCCUUAACUCUGGGAUAAGCCUGGGAAACUGGGUCUAAUACCGGAUAUGACUCCUCAUCGCAUGGUGGGGGGGUGGAAAGCUUUAUUGUGGUUUUGGAUGGACUCGCGGCCUAUCAGCUUGUUGGUGAGGUAAUGGCUCACCAAGGCGACGACGGGUAGCAGGCCUGAGAGGGUGACCGGCCACACUGGGACUGAGAUACGGCCCAGACUCCGUACGGGAGGCAG